rnacentral:rRNA from 1 species
CACGUAGGGUGCGAGCGUUGUCCGGAAUUAUUGGGCGUAAAGAGCUCGUAGGCGGUGCGUCGCGUCGGCCGUGAAAACCUGCAGCUUAACUGUGGGCUUGCGGUCGAUACGGGCAUCACUGGAGUUCGGCAGGGGAGACUGGAAUUCCUGGUGUAGCGGUGAAAUGCGCAGAUAUCAGGAGGAACACCGGUGGCGAAGGCGGGUCUCUGGGCCGAUACUGACGCUGAGGAGCGAAAGUGUGGGGAGCGAACAGG